UUGCUAGAAACCCUCACCACCACUUGGAACCCUGGUCUGCUUUGCCUGUGAAGUAUCAUACAAUGUGUGUCCAGUGUCCCCAAGUUCUUCAGAGAUGCUGAUGAGGAUGUGUCAGUGCUACUCAGCAUGCCCAGAAGAGAAGCUUUGUUGCUGUCCUGUGCUCCAGGUGUGACACAUAGCCUGGGCUGUUUGACAGAGCUGCCCUCCUGUGUGCCUUUCCCUCAACUGGGCAGCAUGUGUGGUGGCCAGUAACCUGUUACAGCCCAACUUGGUCUCAAGAGUGGUCUGUCCUGUCCUCACAUAACUGGUGGCUAAGUUACACGCAAAGAUGUCAAAGCUCAUCAAAGAUAAGGAGUUCAGAUAUAACCACUACUGUGGAAUGACUUUCAUUCUUUCAUUGAAACAUAGAGCAUCAAUAAACAAAUUAUUGGGGGAAAAAAAGUAGGAAAAGUCAGAAGACAGCAAACCAAGUGUUGUCCAAUGUCUCUUUUUUUCUUGAGACAUUAAAUUGUGCAUUUUUUCUAAACUUAUGUGCUUGUCAAUAUCAGAAUAUUGUCCUGUAGUGUUCCAGACUGAUUCAAAUGUGUGAAAAUUUAAUCACUGGCUCUCUUCCACUCUGUAUAGAUAAUGCAGUGGAUGCAAGUCUCAAUCUGCAUGUGCAUCCAAGCAUUUAUUGAGAACACUAAGUUCUGAUUUUCUUGAUAAGCUAUGAUUAAUAGGCCUACUGAAGAACUUAAGAGCUGUUAACAGAGUGUUUCGGAGUGAUUUCAAUAAAAUACAAGUCAAUUCAGGGAAAAUACAUAGGUACAUUAAAUAAGAAAUUAAACCCUAGAUUCAUACCCAUUUUCUCAUUUGCAACUGAUGAUAACUUACUGUCAUGUUGUCAUUUUCUAGGAAAAUAUCCUAAAGGAUAAAGAAGGGGAAUUAAUAAGUUUUUCCGGAGAAUCUUGUUGAAGUCAAUGUCAAAUGCUUCAAAUUAUGAAGUUUCAAUUCAGUCAAUUUUUU
ensembl:lncRNA